UAAAGGAAAAGUCUUCCAAAAGAAAGCAUAAUUACUUGCAUUUGAAAAUUCUAAGUGGAAAAUAACACCAUUCAUCCUCCAUGUCAUGCCUCCACUAACGAAUUUGCUCAGUCAUAGACAUCUCAACAACAUCUAGAUCUACUUAAUAAUUACACAUACGGUGAAUGAGAUUAUUAUUGGGGAAGCUAUAGGUAGGCUUAUAAUUAGUAAGCAGUGCCCAGAAUUGACUAGGCCCUAGGCCGUAGGUAGGUGGGGGAAUUGAGAUAACAGUGCUUCUUCUACUUGUGGCACAAAGUUGCGACAUCGGUGGUCCAAUCUCCUCAAUGCUUUUCCAUUAGAUCUCAGGCUUCUUUGUCUUUGUAUAUAACAGGCUAACU
rnacentral:lncRNA from 1 species